AUUGAACGCUGGCGGCAGGCCUAACACAUGCAAGUCGAGCGGCAGCGGGACCUUCGGGUCGCCGGCGAGCGGCGGACGGGUGAGUAAUGCCUAGGAAUCUGCCUGUUAGUGGGGGAUAACGCGGGGAAACUCGCGCUAAUACCGCAUACGUCCUACGGGAGAACGUGUGGGACACUCGGGCCUCGCGCUAACAGAGCAGCCUAGGUCGGAUUAGCUAGUGGGUGGGGUAAAGGCCCACCAAGCGGACGAUCCGUAAUUGGUCUGAGAGGAUGAUCAGUCACACUGGAACUGAGACACGGUCCAGACUCCUACGGGAGGCAGCAGUGGGGAAUAUUGGACAAUGGGCGAAAGCCUGAUCCAGCCAUGCCGCGUGUGUGAAGAAGGUCUUCGGAUUGUAAAGCACUUUAAGUUGGGAGGAAGGGCGCUCGGUGAAUACCCAAGCGUCUUGACGUUACCGACAGAAUAAGCACCGGCUAACUUCGUGCCAGCAGCCGCCGUAACAC
rnacentral:rRNA from 1 species